rnacentral:misc_RNA from 1 species
UAUCCGUUGGUGAACCAGCGGAGGGAUCAUUACAGGACUCGCAAGACUCCUACAACCCUGUGAACUUAACUAUAAGCACGUUGCUUCGGCGGGUGUCUCGGGGGGGGUUCUCCCUCCCCGAGACGCUAAACCCGCCGGCAGCCUACUAUACUCUGUCUCUUUGCGUUGGCAUCUCGAGUACAAUCAAACAAGUUAAAACUUUCAACAACGGAUCUCUUGGUUCUG